CGAUGCUACACGAAGAACCUUACCUGGGCUUGACAUCAUGGUGGUAGUGAAGCGAAAGCGGAGCGACCCUUCGGGGAGCCAAGACAGGUGCUGCAUGGCUGUCGUCAGCUCGUGCCGUGAGGUGUCGGGUUAAGUCCCGUAACGAGCGCAACCCUUGCCCUUAGUUACAAGUGUCUAAGGGGACUGCCGGCGACAAGCCGGAGGAAGGUGGGGAUGACGUCAAGUCAGCAUGGCCCUUAUGUCCAGGGCUACACACACGCUACAAUGGUCGGUACAAUGGGCAGCGAAACCGCGAGGCGGAGCGAAUCUCACCAAAGCCGAUCUCAGUUCAGAUUGCAGGCUGCAACCCGCCUGCAUGAAGCUGGAGUUGCUAGUAACCGCGCGUCAGCGAUAGUGCGGUGAAUACGUACCCGGGUCUUGUACACACCGCCCGUCACGUCAUGGGAGUCGGUAACGCCUGAAGUCGGUAGCCUAACCGUAAGGAAGGAGCCGCCGAAGGCGGGGCUGGCAACUGGGACGAAGUCGUAACAAGGUAAA
rnacentral:rRNA from 1 species